CCACCACCACCACCACCACAACCCCUCUUUCCUCCAACCUCCACACCAAGUACUCCUUCAAACCCCCACUCUCUCUCGACCAAAACCCUAACCCUAACCCCAAAACCCCAACCACCAAGAAGCCGCAAAAGCCGCCGUACCGUCCGCCAUCGUCGCUUGACCGCGGCGGAGCAAAGCCGGUUCGCUCGGACCUGCCUUUCGAUUUCCGGUUCAGCUACACCGAGAGUAACCCGGAUGUGAGGCCAAUUGGACUCCGAGAGCCGAAGUACUCGCCUUUCGGGCCGGAUCGGCUGGACCGGGUCUGGACCGGAGUGUGUGCUCCGGCGGUGGAGCUAAGAGUUGGGUCGGUGGAGGAUGGGAAGGAGGAUUCGAAGUUGGAGGAGAAGAGGAAGAAGAUGAGAGAGAAGACUUUGGGGGAGCCAUUGACGAAUGCUGAGAGGAAGGCUCUGGUGGACCGGUGUCAGAGUCCUAGAACAAAGCGCCAGAUUAAUUUGGGAAGGGAUGGUUUAACACACAACAUGUUGAAUGAUAUUCAUAAUCACUGGAAACACACUGAGGCUGUCAGGGUGAAGUGUAUGGGUGUACCCACCGUUGAUAUGAAAAAUGUUUGCACUCAGCUAGAGGAUAAAACAUUUGGCAAGAUUAUCCAUAGACAUGGUGGUCUACUCAUAUUAUACAGGGGCAGGAAUUAUAUCCCCAAGAAGAGACCCGUGAUUCCUUUAAUGCUGUGGAAGCCUCACGAGCCUGUAUAUCCCAGGCUUAUCAAAACUACGAUUGAUGGCCUUAGCAUUGAAGAAACAAAGGGAAUGAGAAAGAAAGGGUUGGCUGUUCCUGCCUUAACAAAACUUGCUAAAAAUGGUUAUUAUGGUAGUCUUGUACCUAUGGUUCGAGAUGCUUUUCUUGCCAGUGAGUUGGUUCGGAUAGAUUGCCAAGGCCUUGAAAAGAGUGACUACAAGAAACUAGGCUGCAAACUGAGGGACUUGGUGCCUUGUGUCCUGGUGACAUUUGACAAGGAACAGGUUGUGGUAUGGAGGGGAAAGGAUUAUACGCCGACAGUGGAUGAUGAUCACUUCUUUACAGUUCGUGAUUCAUUUGACAAUCCACGUGAUGAUUUGGUUAGCCGUCCAGAACACUAAACCUCAGAUGAUGACACCAGCAGUCGGCACGACCUCCACUCCGAGUGCAAGUAAUUGCAUAGCACAAGCACCAUUUUACUUCUUCGCGAACGAGAUGAGUAUUCCAUUGUCAUAUCCAGAAGAUGAGCCACAAAGAUUUGCAACUGUCUAUUCUUCUUAUGGAUGUUUCAAAGUAGCCGAGUUUCCAUGAUGUUCAGUCUUUUUUGGUUCUUGGUUUCUUACUUUUGGGCUGUGUUUGGUUUAGUUUUAAAAUCAAUUUUGAGAGGUGUUGUUUGGGAAGGAAAAGCUGGGCUAAAUUAGCCACGUCGCGACAAAGUUGGCUAUUUCAGCCACGUCCCGACAAAAAUGCAUUUCACGGGACAAGCCUCAGAUUGAACCCAAUACACCCUUCGCAAAGCAGAAGAGAAGAAGAACGGAGCUAUCUGACGGCAUCUGAGCGACAUUGGCAGAGGAAAUCGCCACCGGAGUACACAUCCGCGGCAGCGAACAACAACGAAGCCUCUCAAACUCAAACCGAUCUGCAGUAAUGGCUUCGACACGUACUUCGCCGCGUAACCACUCGAAAAGCAAAGGCGUUGUCACUGACAAGUCAAGCAGUCUUGAAGAGACACAAAAUCAGUUAAGCUACAAGGCGUCAUGGGACAGUAACUCAGUCCGAGUUUUCCUCCAGUUGAUUGCAAAUGAGAUUAGUAAAGGAAAUUGCCCAUUCUUAGUCCUCAGCCAAGCAGGGUACAAGUAAUUGGCAAGGAAAUUUGAGAAAAAAACAGGAAAAAAACAUGGACUGAAACAGUUGAAGAAUAAGUACAUGACCUUGAAAAAAGAGUGGCAAGCGUGGACAAAGUUGA